rnacentral:rRNA from 1 species
GACGAGGGAUCCUAGCGUUGUUCGGAAUCAUUGGGCGUAAAGCGGGUGUAGGUGGCUUUAUAAGUCGGGUGUGAAAGCCCUGGGCUCAACCCAAGAAAUGCAUUCAAUACUGUUUAGCUUGAGUGCGGGAGAGGUUACUAGAAUUCUUGGUGUAGUGGUGAAAUACGUAGAUAUCAAGAGGAAUACCGGAGGCGAAGGCGGGUAACUGGGGGUUUUCUGACGCUGAGGAACGAAAGCCAGGGGAGCGAACGGG